rnacentral:misc_RNA from 1 species
AAGAGUACCGGAGCUCUCGGGUUCCUACUCCCACCCUAUGUUGACUUUAAAAUGUUGCUUUGGCGGACCGGCAGCAUUGCCACUGGCCUAGGCUGGAUAGCGUCCGCCGGAGGAUUUUUAAAUUCCUUUGAAGGUAAAUUCUGAGUCUUUGAAAAUUGAAUCA